rnacentral:rRNA from 1 species
CCUACGGGAGGCUGCAGUGGGGAAUAUUGCACAAUGGGCGCAAGCCUGAUGCAGCCAUGCCGCGUGUGUGAAGAAGGCCUUCGGGUUGUAAAGCACUUUCAGCGGGGAGGAAGGCGGUGAGGUUAAUAACCUUAUCGAUUGACGUUACCCGCAGAAGAAGCACCGGCUAACUCCGUGCCAGCAGCCGCGGUAAUACGGAGGGUGCAAGCGUUAAUCGGAAUUACUGGGCGUAAAGCGCACGCAGGCGGUCUGUCAAGUCGGAUGUGAAAUCCCCGGGCUCAACCUGGGAACUGCAUUCGAAACUGGCAGGCUAGAGUCUUGUAGAGGGGGGUAGAAUUCCAGGUGUAGCGGUGAAAUGCGUAGAGAUCUGGAGGAAUACCGGUGGCGAAGGCGGCCCCCUGGACAAAGACUGACACUCAGGUGCGAAAGCGUGGGGAGCAAACAGGAUUAGAUACCCCGGUAGUC